rnacentral:rRNA from 1 species
UUUGAAAGCUAAAAAUCGUAACAAGGUUUCCGUAGGUGAACCUGCGGAAGGAUCAUUGUCGA